CCGUCCCCGCCGGGCUGUCGCUGCCGCCGCCGCGGCUCUGAUGCCUUCGGGUUGUCCGUGCUGGUUCCCGCAGCUGCGGGCGGCCCUCUCCGCGACAGCGUGAGCCCCGCGCCCCGAGCCCAUGGAUCCGGACCCGCCGCAAACGGGCGACGCCGUGCCCGUGGCCUCCGCCAGCCCGGACGUGGCCCCGCUGACGGACACGCGUGAAGGCGCGGGAGGUGGCAGUGACAGCGCACCCCGCGCGGCCCCGGGGCAGGAGCGGGACGACGCGCCCCGGCCCCAGGAGGGUUCCCCCUCUCCGGACCCGCAGCUCGUUAGGCCUCUGCGAGCUAUGGAGGGGCUCGGACGGGAGCGGACGGACGGAACCCCCCAGAGUGGGGCUGACUACGGCCUCCUUGUGAGCCAGAACAUGAAGCUCCUGAGUGCGCUGGAGGACCUGCGGCACCGCUGCUCCAGCCUUGCUGAGGAGAACAGCUUGCUGCGCAGGAGCUGCUUUCCCGAGACGGAGGAGAAGGUUAAGCACCUGAAGAGGAAAAACGCGGAGCUGGCAGUGAUCGCCAAACGCCUGGAGGAGAGAGCCCGGAAACUCCAGGAGGCCAACCUCAAAGUCGUAACUGCUCCAGUGCCCCUGAAGGGUUCCAGCCUGGAGCUGUGUAAAAAAGCAUUUGCUCGCCAGCGUGCCAAGGACCUGACAGAGCAAGCCAGUGCUCUCCUGGCAAAAGACAAGCAGAUUGAAGCUCUGCAGCAGGAGUGCCGGGAGCUGCAGGCUAAGCUCAUUGCGGGGAAGGGUGACCCUCGCUGCCUGAACGUGGUGGAGUUCGACCGGCUGCUGCGGGAAUCCCAGAAAGAAGUGCUGCGGCUGCAGAGGCAGAUCGCGCUGAAGAAUUUCAAGGAGUGUCUGCGUUCCUCCAAAAGCAGCUCAGGGGUCUCCUUGCCAAGUGCUGCCGCCUGCCCGGGCUCAGCGCUAAAUACCUGCAGCAAAGACUCACCUGCAGCGAAGGAGGUCUGCUCGGGAGACCCAGCGCUAGGAGGGGCAGCACACAGGAGGGUGGAACCAAGUGUGCUACCAUUGGGCCCUGCCUUGGAAGGACAUGAAAAUUUCCCUCCAAAAAAUGCAGUAACAGACCAAGAGAGCGGCCAACAGAUACAGCAGCUGGAAUUUGAACUCAAGAAAAAGCGCAAAAAAUGUGAAAACCUUGAGCAUGAAGUGAGGAAAAAGCAUAAAAGAUGCAAAGAACUCGAGAUCCAGCUGCAGGAGGUACAGAGUGAAAAUGCACGACUGGCCGAGGAGAACUUGCAGCUGAAUGAGAAGGCCGGAUGGGCAGGACAGGUUGAAUCUGAGAAUGCUGACCUGAAGCUGCAGGUUGUUUUGGUUACUAAGGAACGGGAUUCAGUAAUUCAGAGAAAUCAAGGACUUCAAACCAAGCUGGAGAAUCUAGAGCAGGUGCUGAAGCACAUGAGAGAUGUGGCUGAGCGAAGGCAGCUGCUGGAAGCCGAACACAAGGAAGCGCUGCUAGUCCUGCAGGAGAAGCAAGAGGAAGUCAGACGGUUGCAGCAGGCACAGGCAGAGGCAAAAAGGGAACAUGAAGGAGCAGUACAACUUCUAGAGGCUCGGGUGAAAGAUCUAGAAGACCAGUGCCGCAGUCAAACAGAGCAGUUCAGCCUUCUGUCCCAGGAGCUCAAACAAUUCCGACUUCAAACAGGAAAAAUUGACCUUCUCACCUCCACACUGGUGACUUCUGAACUUCCUCUUGCACUGUGCAGCUCUACCCCACAGCCUCACUGGGAGAAGGAUUCAUCUGGUCCUGCACUGCUUGCUCACCAGAGCACAAAGAAGGUUCACAAUGAAGAGACCAAUGAGUCGGAGUUGUCACAGCAGGUGCCUGAGGGUGCUGUUGGCUCCCCAGUUUCUGUUGCCAGUUCUCAGAAACAAGCCAAGAAAGUUGAAUCUCAGUCAAGCUCUUCAAAAUCAGAAUCCAUGCAGAACAGCCCCAAAUCCUGCCCAACUCCAGAGGUUGACACUGCAAGUGAAAUGGAAGAACUAGAUGUUGACAGCAUCUCUCUGAUGCCAGAGCCAAGCAGCCAAGGCCCUGCGAAGCUUCAGGUCUUCUUGGCUCGAUACAGCUACAAUCCUUUUGAUGGACCUAAUGAAAAUCCAGAGGCAGAGCUUCCACUGACUGCUGGAGAGUAUAUUUACAUCUAUGGAGACAUGGAUGAGGAUGGCUUCUUUGAAGGGGAGCUGAUGGAUGGCCGGCGAGGGCUGGUCCCCUCCAAUUUUGUUGAGCGAGUUUCAGAUGAUGACCUCAUGACGGUUCUGCCUUCGGAGCUGAAUGAUCUCACCCAUAGUUCAUACCAGGAGAAAAGUUUUGUCAGUGCGAGCACCAGCAGUGGAGAUAAGAGUGAUUUCUCCAUUGAAGAGAGUAGCAUCAGUCCAUUGGUCAGUAGAGCAGAAGGAGACCAGGAGGAACGUGUUAGUCACACAGCAGUGCCUUACCCAAGAAAACUGACUCUGAUCAAGCAGCUUGCCAGAAGUAUAGUUGUAGGCUGGGAACCACCACUUUUGCCUGCUGGCUGCCCGGACAUACAGAGCUACAAUAUCUAUGUGGACGAAGAGCUACGUCAAAAUGUGAAGAGUGGCUUUCAGACCAAAGCAGUGAUUGAAAAGCUGGAUUUAAAGACAAAGGCUUACCGUGUGUCUGUGCAGAGUGUGACAGAGAAAGGCAGUUCUGAUAAACUGCGAUGCACUUUCUUUGUGGGGCAAGAUUUGUGUGUGGCACCGACUAUGCUGAAAGUCAGAAAUGUCACUGCCACAUCAGCAGAGGUCACGUGGCUUCCCUGCAACAGCAAUUACAACCACGCGGUGUAUCUGAAUGGGGAGGAGUGUGACAUAACAAAGCCAGGGGUCUACUGGUACACCUUCCGCAACCUGCAGCCCAGCACUCAGUAUGUUGCCAAGCUGGAGGCCCGUCCCUUGAAAACACUCUGGGAAGAGGUCUCAGAGGGGCAGGAGCAGAACUCAGCUGUGAUACACUUCACUACCCCUCUAGCAGGCACGCCUGAUGCUCCUCUGGAUGUCCAGGUAGAAGUUGGUCCCUCUCCAGGAAUCCUCGUUAUCAGCUGGUUACCUGUCACUAUUGAUGCUGAAGGAUCUUCCAAUGGAGUUCGAGUCACCGGUUACGCUGUGUAUGCGGAUGGACAGAAGGCAAUAGAAGUUACUUCUCCAACGGCCGGGAGUGUCCUUGUGGACUUGUCCCAGCUUCAGAUGUUCCAGGUGUGCCAGGAGGUUUCUGUGAGAACGAUGUCUCUGUACGGGGAGUCAGUGGAUUCAGUUCCAGCCCAGAUUUCCUCAGUCUUGCUGAGAGCCUCUCGUCGUUCUUCACCUUCAGAUUCUGCUAUUUCUACUACUUUUACCUCUAGACUGCCCUGUGGAGAAUCCAGGGGCUCCCUGCCUGCACGCAGCCCGCCCACACACCAGAUGGCUGCACUCCAGCUUCGACAAAAAGUCCCCUCUGAUAGCUCAGAUGCCAAAUUGACUGAUCUCUCCUCCAGCCACGAUGGCUCAGCACGAUCUCUGCCAGAGAAAGCCUCUUCGCUGCUGCAGCUCUCUUCGUCCAGUGCUUCCUUGGUACGCACCUCAGGUGCUUCCCUGCAGGGAUCAGACGCUGCACAAGACAAGAAAUGCCUGACAGUGCCUCCUCAGCAAGUGGGCAGCACAGAACUGUCCGGUGAGGGCACAGAGCCUGUCUCCUUAAGGGAAACAGAAUCAAAAAGCCUGGGUGAAGGGAUGGAGGUGCUGAUGGAGCAACCUGUAACUGAAAUGCCAGAGCUAGAAAGCCCAACUAACAGUAGCCUGAAGAUAUGCACGGAGACCUGCCAUACGUGCUCUGUGGAAGAGUCACCAAAAAGUCCCAGUGCUGAAAGAGAGAGGGAGGCAAAGGAGAAGAACUUGAGCCCAGAGCCCCUGCCCUCCCCCAGCCAGGCUGAGGGGAUGGAGGGCACCUCCCGAGAUGCAAGCACGGGUGGCAGCAGCUGCCAGGAGUUCCUGAAGUUGUCCCCUGGCAAGGAGGUGAUGAAAGAGAUGUCCAGAGUAAAAAGAGAGCAAGAAGAAAAAAUGUCUGAAAUAGGAAGACGACAGCUGACCCUUUUCGCUGAGCACAACCGGAGUUCAGACCUUUCAGAUAUAUUGGAGGAGGAAGAGGAAGAUGAACUGUCUUCAGAAGCUCUGGAUGAGAAGAAAUGGGAUCCAAGAGAGCCCUGUUGCAGGGAGAAUGGGGAGAAGAUGGAUCUUUGUGAUACUGACAGCGAUGAGGAGAUUCUGGAAAGGAUACUGGAGCUCCCGCUUCAGAAGAAUCACAGCAAGAAAUUAUUUAGCAUCCCUGAAGUGACUGAGGAUGAGGAUGAGGAUGAAGAUGAGGAUGAGAAGUGUGUUACGGAGGAAAAGGAAGAUCCUCAAGACUCCUUGGAAGCACCUACCUACAUUGCAGGAAGGUCUGAGAAGCCACUAAGCACCCAGGAUCCCUUUCUGAAGGCAGAUCGUAGUGAUUCCUCCCCGGAUCUCUCUGCUCAGACUCCACAGGAGGAGCAGACUGCUAAGGAAAGUAGAGAGGGUGCUGACCACAUGAACCCCAGAUGGAGUCAGAAAAGGGCAAGCUGGAACUGGGGCUACCAGGAGAACGAUCUGAAAUCUGGGAGUGGGGCAAGCCCCACUCGGAGCAAAAAGAAGGGAAACUAUCGAGAGAAGAUCCGGAGUCGACCUGAGAUGGGUAGGAAGAGACAGAAUGAUUUCACAGAGCACUGCAGUCGUCUGCUGGGCAACUGCAGCCAGAUGGGAGGCGGGUUGUACAGAGCUCCCAGCCUCCGGGAGGAGCUGAACAUUGUGAGCAGCUCUGCUGGUAAGGAGGGGUUUGAUGCGUACACUCGUGCUAGGCAAAGCGCCUCUCGAAGAAACCACGGAAAAGCAGUGGUUUCAGGGUUUGCAGAACCUACUGGGAUGGCAGCACACUGCUCCAGCUCCAGAAGCCUGGAAAUAGACAUUGAGUAUGACUCUGAAGACGAUCAGGAUUCGACCUGUUCAUCCCCCCCUGAGAGCAGGCUGUGGCCAGAAAGGGCCCAGAGCUGUCAGGGGGAAUGGAGCAGUUGCUCCAGUCAAUCUGAGGUUAUCCACACAGAUGGCAGAAGGAGCCUGACCAGGCUGGAGAGAGUGGAAGAGCAGGGUAUGGAGUGGGCUGGGUCUCCAAGCCGGCACCUGCGAUCUUUCUGCCGGGAGAAGGAAGCACUGAGGUGUGAGAGCAGCUCUGAGGAGCAAAGCUGGGAGCAGGACUGUAAGUCACCUGGCUGGAGAAGGAGGCUCGAACAUCCUUGGAAGGGGAUACGUAGCACCUCCUUGCACAAAAGGGCGUCUGGUAAUAGAGAUCCUAGGGGCCAGGAGCUGCCUGGCUUAGCUGCCUGGCAGAAUCCCAGCAGAAGAGGGAACAACAGGAGCUUAAGAAGAAGCCAAAUGCAGAAGCCUUUGCUUUCUAGUCCAGGUCCUCCAAGGAGCACUGCUUCAGAAACCACUGUUAAAGAUGAUAGCAUUAGAAUAUUUGUGGCCCUGUUUGACUACGAUCCUGUUUCCAUGUCUCCUAACCCUGAUGCAGCAGAAGAGGAGCUCCCGUUUAAGGAGGGGCAGAUCCUGAAGGUGUGUGGAGACAAGGAUGCUGAUGGCUUUUACAGGGGUGAAUGUGCAGGAAGAGAGGGAUACAUUCCCUGUAACAUGGUAUCUGAAAUCCAGGUGGAAAAUAAUGAAAUCAAGAUGCAGCUCCUAAAGCAAGGGUUCCUUCCUGCUGACCCACCAACGGAGAGCAUAGGAAAUGGCACAUUUUCUCCACCUCCACGCCGCCAAACCGUCCCUCCUCCAAAACCCAGACGCUCCAAGAAAGAACUGGAUAAACAGGAGAAGUACAAGUCUCAUCCAGGACAGAAGCGUCAGGACUUUGAAGCUGAACUGCUGACUCCUCGAAGUAUGGUGGCUGUCUUUGACUAUAACCCUAAGGAGAGCUCUCCAAAUGCAGAUGCAGAGGCUGAACUGACUUUCAGUGCAGGGGACAUUAUCACUGUGUUUGGGUCCAUGGAUGAUGAUGGAUUCUACUAUGGAGAGCUGAACCAACAGAGAGGGCUUGUCCCAUCUAACUUUUUGGAAGCUGUAACUUCAGAUGGAGACAUGGUCGAGGAGCUUCAUUCAAAAGAUAAAGAAGCUUUUUUGCUGAGUGCUGAGAGCCAGGUAAGACUGUGGGACUGCGUAGUACAGACAUCAAACUGUGACAUGGCUGGAGACUGGGCAUUGCACAGCAUGCAGCAUCUCAUGGAGUCAUGUCAAUUGUUGCAUGCAGCUCAGUUCAUUCCAUGGGAGCUCAGAAGUGUAGAGGGGAACACCAGGAGCUCUUAAAAAUUUAACCUUAGUAUGAAAAAAGGUUCAAAAGAGCAAUGUUUGUUGAAUCCUCAUGCUCAGUAUGGUUAGGUGAGCAAAGAACAUGGCAGGUCCCACCAGCAAGUUCUUCGGAUGCACACAAGGGUCAGUGGUGAGAAACUGCUGCAAACAAAACAGUUCAGGUGGCUUCCCAGGCACAAAAUUCUUCAGAUAUGUUCAUAUCCAUGCCAAGGAUUUCUGGUGUUAUUGGCAACUAAACACCAAUGUUUUUCCACCUCUCCCAAGUUAGAUAUAUCUUAAUCCUGUCCAAGGUGCUUUCAGACAAAUUCAGAACAUACAGGGGAAUUUCUCAAGCAGAUCUGACGGAUGGAUUCACAGCCUAAGGCUUUGAGAGCAACCCACAGAUGUGAGGUGUUCCAAGGUUGGGCUAUCCCCCUUGCUUUAUGUUUCUGAUGCUUUUUGAACAAAUGCUUAAGAGGGAGAUUGGGGUCACCUGCCAGAUUCAGUUGGUCCUCAGUGGUUGAGGCCGAAAGUGUGGCUCGUCUUUGGUCACUCCCAAAUCCUCCGUGCUGUGGCAUUCUAGAGAGUGGGAGAUAGGGAGGUACACAGACCCAUAAAAGUGUGGAAGAGCAAACCUAGGUCAACUGUGAGCUACUCCUUAAGGCAGUGUGGUGAGCUACUCUUUAAGGCAGUGUGCUGUCCUGAAUCUUCCUGUCAGUCUCUUCCCUGAUGUCACCCUAGCUUUCUAGCUCCUUGCAGUGUCAUUUGUCCUAUUUUUUCAUGCUCUGCUCCUCCUUUGCUCACUUUCCAUCUCCCUGUCUUCAAAUGCUGCCUGCCUUGUCUGCCACGGGCACCUUCUGUGGCCCUAUCUGCUCCAGGCACAUGAAACUUUGUGGGCGCAGCGUUUGUCCCACAGCCUCAAUGCCUUCCUGUGAGAGGUGUCAGGAAUGCGUCAGAAAUAAGGUUUGUGGGUAGUUUACUGGAUCAUCUUCUAAACCCAGAAGCAGUUUUGGGUCCCUCGUGCUUGUCUGUGUAGGAUACUCAGUCCCUUUGAUCUCAGCCCACAAGUGCUAGUGCUUGCUGAGGAAUUGCAGAAAUUAAUGAGCUGUUACUACCAGCUGUUACUAGGAGGUUACACAGAUCUAAUUUCCUGGGUGGAAACAAGUAUUCAGAGGGGGUUUUCUUCUCCAGUUUCCCUCAGAACAAUUUACUCUUCCCACAUUAUCUAUCUAUUAGAGCAGAAGGUGUCAAAGGAGACCUGAGCCAGUACAAUUAUAACAAGUUGAAUUCAUAAUACAGCUUAUUCCACAUCUGACAUCCUCUCUGGCAUCAACUGGUAAAGGCCUGUUCAGAUGUCAAAGGGUCGUUAUCCCAGCUCCAGUCAGAAAUCUUGGUGAAAAAAUCAUGGGAAGUAAUGAGAAAUUCAGUUAACCUUUAGGGCUCAGAGAACUGAUCUGCCACUUGCAAAUGUGAAGUGUGUGGCUUAGCAAAUGGUGUUCUAUUAAUGAUGUGAGGUAAGAGAAACCAACAAAGCUGAUAUACAGAGUGGCAUACUCAGUAAAUGUGCCCAUAUACCUGUUUGCAUUUCUCUUCAGUGUCUCAAUUUCCUCACCAAUGAGACAUCAGUUUGGCCUGCCAUAUCCCACGCUGUGACAUGCGCUUACAGGAUCCCAAGGGCCCAUCUGCUCCAGCUGCUUCUGCAUGCUGCCCUGCAGUUUGCUGCUGCUCCCUCCGCUCUGCCCUUUCCACUUCUGCUGGGUUCUGCAGCAGAUGACUGUUCCCUGGACACAGCAGUUCACCACUCUGACUCCACGCUGUCCUGGUCUCUGCUUCUGCUUUGCAGUCCAGGUCUAUCUAAACAGCUUCCAGCUAUGAAGGGCAUGCUUGUCUCUUUGUAAAAGCAGUACUUUUACCCUGCUCCUAACCCAGCUUGUAUUACCUAACUACAUUUAAGUACAUUCAGUGAUUCCUGAGGAGAGGCAGAACCUGACCCACAGAGUUUUUGGCUGUCAUAGCAGUCACAGCAUCCUUACCUAUAAGCAGAACACCUGAUGGGUAAGGCAGAAGAAACGUCCUUCUGUAGAAUAUACGUAUUCUAGGGGCCACCCCUGAGCUGCAAUAAACUGUGUGAUACAGCCAUAACUGAGGCUUUCUAGACUCCCACAUAUUCAUUCCAUAGUGUUUAGGAGUGUGCUAGUUAAGUAUGUUGUUGGCUUGUGUAUCUAGCAGAACAUGAAAGCAUCUUUGGGUUGGGGUGAGUGGGCAGGGAGUGUGCAGAAACUCCUGGCAGCCUCUAGGGAAGCACUGUUUGAAUAUUAAACAUAGCAUAACAAGUCUCCCAUCAAAUUUGCCAGCUUCAUUCAUCUUGAAAGCUAACUCAUCAAUGAGCAUGUGUCCUCACCAUGUAUCCUGUGAGAGCUUUGAACUGUGUUAAAACUACUUUACGUCUUAACCGAAGCUUCUCCAGCAUGACCAGGAGUGGUUUUUAAAUCACUUAUAACUUCUUGGAUUUAAAGUUUUCACCAGGUCUCUUCUUCCCAUUUGCUUUCUCUGUUCUGAUGUGACAAAGGCUUGAGAAUAAGGACAAUUUGUAAGUUGAACUGGAGAAGGUGAAUUAUUAGAAUUAUUUCUGAACAAAUCUUAAAAUGCCGGGAACUGAUAAAGGUGAAGCAAUUUGACUUUCGAACUGACAUAAAUUUGGCUAGACUGAGCAAUAAAAAAUGCAGUGCAAAGAGGAGUAUCCAAGAAGUUAUGAUCACAAGCUAGAGCACUGAAACACUGAUGUUCGUCAGCUAGGGGCAGUCUGCUGUAGUGCCGUGGCUGCUGAAUGAAUCUUUUUGCAUCACUAAUACCCAGUUUCUGUCAAAGACUGAUUGUAAAGCACCUUCAGAAAGUAUUCAAUUCUAAUUGAUUUCAUGUAUUUAUUUCUGCCUGUAUUAUGCACCCAUGGCGGUUCUUUUCUUCAGAGAAUGAGGAAGAGAAGAGUCCAGUGAUAGAUAUGAAUGAUACAUAGAGAGAGAGCAACCAUUUAAAUCCAGAUGGAUCUGUCGAUCACAGUGACUUCUCACCGACUCCUCCUGUACUACCUUCCUGCCUUGUCAUGGGCGAGCAGUGU